rnacentral:sRNA from 1 species
ACACGCGCGCGCGCACACACACAUACGCAUGUACACGCGCACCCGCACCCGCGCGCCUGUAUCCCGUGCUGUUUCCCUGGCAGACACACAGGCGCUCACGAGUCUCUCCUUGCCAGCCUGCAGGGCGGCGACCCCCAAAACCCAGCUCCGGGUCCCAACCUAGGCAAGAAGCUGCUUCUCUGCCAACAGCUCCUCUUCGGCCUCCGUCACAGCCACCUGGACCCUACCCUUUCGCGACUGCUGCUGCUGCUGCCCGGACGUGGAAGCAGCAAGAGGCGCUUGGUCAAGACACACUGACGAAUUCGGCGAGGCAGCAUUGGUGUAUGGAAUUACAUAAGCCCUAAACUGGGCGGGAUUGGAUUUGCAAGUUGUGUAGUGUGCUAUUUUGUAGCUCUCUACUACAACGUCAUCAUUGGCUGGAGUUUGUUUUAUCUUUCUCAGUCUUUUCAGCAACCCCUGCCUUGGGAUCAGUGUCCUUUGGUGAAAAAUGCUUCACACACUUUUGUAGAACCAGAAUGUGAACAAAGUUCUGCCACCACCUAUUA